GGGGAGUGCGGUCGCAAGAUUAAAACUCAAAGGAAUAGACGGGGACCCGCACAAGUGGUGGAGCAUGUGGUUUAAUUCGAAGAUACGCGAAGAACCUUACCUAGCCUUGACAUAUUAUGGAAUACUUUAGAGAUAGAGUAGUGCCUUCGGGAGCCAUUAUACAGGUGCUGCACGGCUGUCGUCAGCUCGUGUCGUGAGAUGUUGGGUUAAGUCCCGCAACGAGCGCAACCCUCGUCACUAGUUACUAACGGUUCGGCCGAGGACUCUAGUGAGACUGCCUUCGUAAGGAGGAGGAAGGUGAGGACGACCUCAAGUCAUCAUGGCCCUUACGGCUAGGGCAACACACGUGCUACAAUGGCCAGGACAAUGAGACGCGAUACCGCGAGGUGGACCAAAUCUCUAAACCUGGUCUCAGUUCCGACUGUAGUCUGGGGCCCCCCUACAUGAAGCUGGNAUCACUAGUGAUCCUAGAUCCCCUAUGCCAAGGUGAAUACCUUCCCAGGUCCUGCACACAUCGCCC
rnacentral:rRNA from 1 species